UCCUCCAUAGCUCAGAGGUUAGAGCACUGGUCUUGUAAACCAGGGAUCAUGAGUUCAAUUCUCACUGGGGGCU
rnacentral:tRNA from 1 species